rnacentral:rRNA from 1 species
AACGUAGGACGCAAGCGUUAUCCGGAUUUACUGGGCGUAAAGCGCGGGCAGGCGGUUCUGCCAGUCUGAUGUGAAAUCUCCUCGCUCAACGGGGAGCAGCCAUUGGAAACUACAGAACUGGAGUCUGACAGAGGUAGGCGGAAUUCCGGGUGGAGUGGUGAAAUGCGUAGAGAUCCGGAGGAACACCAGAGGCGAAGGCGGCCUACUGGGUCAGUACUGACGCUGAGCCGCGAAAGCCAGGGGAGCAAACAGG